rnacentral:rRNA from 1 species
AUUGAACGCUGGCGGCAUGCCUUACACAUGCAAGUCGAACGGCAGCACGGGAGCAAUCCUGGUGGCGAGUGGCGAACGGGUGAGUAAUAUAUCGGAACGUGCCCAGUCGUGGGGGAUAACGCAGCGAAAGCUGUGCUAAUACCGCAUACGAUCUACGGAUGAAAGCGGGGGAUCGCAAGACCUCGGGCGAUUGGCGCGGCCGAUAUCAGAUUAGCUAGUUGGUGAGGUAAAGGCGCACCAAGGCGACGAUCUGUAGCUGGUCUGAGAGGACGACCAGCCACACUGGAACUGAGACACGGUCCAGACUCCUACGGGAGGCAGCAGUGGGGAAUUUUGGACAAUGGGCGAAAGCCUGAUCCAGCAAUGCCGCGUGCAGGAUGAAGGCCUUCGGGUUGUAAACUGCUUUUGUACGGAACGAAACGGUGAGCUCUAAUACAGUUUGCUAAUGACGGUACCGUAAGAAUAAGCACCGGCUAACUACGUGCCAGCCGCCGCCGUAA